GUUUCACCAUCUUGUCCAGGCUAGUCUGAAACUCCUGACCUUGUGAUCCGCCCACCUCAACCUCCCAAAGUGCUGGGAUUACAGGCAUGAGCUACCACGCCCGGCCCAUUUUAACUAUUUGUAAGUGUACAAGCAGCUCCGUGAACGCGAUGGCCCAGCCAGGUACAGACACCUCACCCAACCCACCCAGGACGUUUACACUUGCCAGUAACUCUCCCGCUAUCACCAAUUCUGAUGAAUAUGAUAGAUAUGAUGGAGUUUCCCUCUUGUUGCCCAGGCUGGAGUGCAAU